rfam:Altererythrobacter marensis strain KCTC 22370, complete genome.
GGGCCCUUAGCUCAGUCGGUAGAGCAACUGACUUUUAAUCAGUAGGUCGCUGGUUCGAACCCAGCAGGGCUCA